CUCCUGGCAUAUGGAGGUUCCCAGGCUAGGGGUCGAAUCAGAGCUCAAGGCUACACCAGAUCCUUAACCCACUGAGCAAGGCCAGGGACCGAACCGGCAACCUCAUGGUUCCCAGUCAGAUUCGUUAACCACUAUAUUUUCCCUUUCCUAUAGUUCUAUAAAAUGUCCUAAAAAGAUAGCGAAAUGACAGCUUUGAAAUAAAAAGCUAUUUUGUAAAUAGAUUGUGUCUCAGAUAAUACACAAUGCAAUAAAAAUAUUACUGCCAAAUCCCUCGUACUAAGCAGAAUUUUCAAAACCGGAAGAGUUUGAUAGGACCAAUUCAUGAGUUUGGAAGAACUAGUAUCCUUUAGGCUCUGUCAAAUAAUAUCAUUUUUAAAACGAUAAAAAUUUCCAAAUAAGAAAUGUAGGCAAAACCCUGGCAUUCUUUGAUAUACUUUGAAAUUAUGCUAAUGGUGCCAAGAAGACCAGUGUUAUGAAUGUAGGUUUAAAAAACAUAAAUGUACUACAAUUUUAUCUAUAAUUGCUAAUGGUUAAAAUGUUUUGUGAUAAUUUUUAAAAAACAUAAAUGUACUACAAUUUUAUCUAUAAUUGCUAAUGGUUAAAAUGUUUUGUGAUAAUUUUUAAACUUUAGAGGACUUAGAUGAAAACUCUGCUUUUACAUUAAAAUGUUAUAUGGACAUAUGUGUUACUGACGGCUAAAAAUUAACAAAGACAACUUUUAUAUACUUGCAUGUAUUUUCCCCCCAAAGCUGUUAUUAAAUUAAUGGUACACAUCACAAUGUCAUCAGAGAUGAAAAACAAUAUCAUUGGCAGAAAAUAAUAGGAAAUUGGUAAUAUCAAAGCAUUAGGUAUAUUUAUUGCAGGAUAGUAAUUAUGUGUUAUCCUGCUUCACCUUGCCUAAUAAAACAGAUUAACCAUUACACUUUUUAAAAAAUAUUUUUAUUAUAUCUGAUUUACAAUGUUUUGUCAAUUUCUGCUCUACAUAAACAUGACCCAGUCAUACAUAUACAUAUAUUCUUUUUCUCAUAUUAUCCUCCGUCAUGUACCAUCACAAGUUACUGGAUACAGUGCCCUGUGCUACACAGCAGGAUCUCUUUGCCUAUCUACUCCAAAUUCAAUAGUUUGCAUCUACUAACCCCAAAUUCUCAUUCCAUCCCAUUCCCUCCCCUUCCCCCUUGGUAACCACAAGUCUGUUCUCCAUGUCCAUGAGGUUUUUUCCUCUAUAGAUAGGUUCAUUUGUGCCAUAUAUUAGAUUCCAGAUAUAAGUGAUAUCAUAUAGUAUUUGUCUUUUUCUUUCUGACUUCACUUAGUAUGGGAAUCUAGUUGUAUCCAUUUUGCUGCAAAUGGCAUUAUUUUGUUUUUUUUUUAUGACUGAAUAGCAUUCCAUUGUGUAUACAUACCAUGUCUUUUUUUUUAAACCGUUAAAAAUAUUUUAGUCAUCCACAUCAGAGACCUGUUAGUAUAAGCAAAAUUAGAUGAACUCACCACUUAAUCAUAUAGCACCCCCAGUUCCCUACCAUAACUCAACAUAAAAGGAUGAUAUUAAAAGGUGGAAAGUAUAAAUAAAAUAACUUUCCAUACAACACAGAAAGUUAUUAAAGAAUUACACUCAAAGCACCAGGCAUAAAAAUUUUCUCAGCAAAUUACUAACCACUGUUUAAUUUCGAAUAUGUAAACUCUAUUACUAAUUGUUCCAGAGCACUGAAAGAAAACUCCUUAUAAAGUAAGCAUAACACCAAUAGCUGAACCUGAUAAACAUAGUACAAAUGAAAAAAACCAAUAUACCACAUCUUCUUAAUCCAUUCAUCUGUUGAUGGACAUUUAGGUUGUUUCCAGGUCUUGGCUAUUGCGAAUAGUGCUAGAGUGAACAUAGGGAUGCAUGUAUCCUUUUCAAUGAAAGUUUUGUCCACUUAGAUGCCCAGGAGUGGGAUUGCUAGAUCAUACGGUAGUUCUAUAUUUAGUUUUCUGUGGUACUUCCAUGGUAUUUUCCAUAUUGGUUGUAUCAAUUUACAUUCCCACCAACAGUACAGGAGGGUUCCCUUUUCUCCACACCCUCUCCAGCAUUUGUUAUUUGUAGACUUAUUAUGAUGGCUAUUCCUACUGGUGUGUGGUGAUAUCUCAUUGUAGUUUUGAUAUGCAUUUCUCUAAUAAUUAGUGAUGUUGAGCAUUUUUUCAUGUGCUGUUGGUGAUCUGUAUAUCUUCUUUGGAGAAAUGUCUAUUCAGGUCUUCUGCCAUUUUUCAAUUUAUUUUUUAUUUUUUAUUUUUGUUUUUUUGCUGUCAAGUUGUGAGAAUUGUUUGUACAUUUUGGAAAUUAAAGCCCUUGUCAGUUGCAUCUUUUUGAACUACUUUCUCCCAUUCUGUAGGUUGUCUUUUUGCGUUGUUUUAUGGUUUCCUUUAUUGCACAAAAGCUUGUCAAUUUGAUUAGGUCACAUUGGUUUAUUUUUGUUAUUUCUAUUGCUUUGGGAGACUCACCUAAGAAAUCAUGAGUAUGGUUGAUGUUAGAGAAUGUUUUACCUACAUUAUUUUCUAGGAGUUUUAUGGUAUCUUGUCUUAUAUUUAAGUCUUUAAGCCAUUUUGAGUUUAUCUUUUUUUUGAAUGGUGUGAGGGUGUGUUCUGGUUUCAUUGAUUUACAUGCAGCUGUCCAGUUUUGCCAGUACCACUUGCUGAAGAGACUGUCUUUUUCCCAUUUUAUAUUCUUACUUCCUUUAUUGAAGAUUAAUUGACUAUAGGUGUCUGGGUUUAUUUCUAGGUUCUCUAUUCUGUUCUCACCUGUAUGUCUGUUUUUGUACCAGUACCACAAUGUCUGUGGCUCAGGUCUGAUCCCUAGCCUGAGGAACUUUUGCAUGUUAUGGGUGCAGCCAAAAAAAAAAAAAAAAAAAAAAAAAAA
rnacentral:lncRNA from 1 species